rnacentral:rRNA from 1 species
UGGGGAAUAUUGCACAAUGGGCGCAAGCCUGAUGCAGCAACGCCGCGUGAACGAUGAAGGUCUUCGGAUCGUAAAGUUCUGUUGCAGGGGAAGAUAAUGACGGUACCCUGUGAGGAAGCACCGGCUAACUACGUGCCAGCAGCCGCGGUAAUACGUAGGGUGCAAGCGUUAAUCGGAAUUACUGGGCGUAAAGCGUGCGCAGGCGGUUCUGUAAGACAGAUGUGAAAUCCCCGGGCUCAACCUGGGAAUGGCAUUUGUGACUGCAGGAGUAGAGUUCAUCAGAGGGGGGUGGAAUUCCAAGUGUAGCAGUGAAAUGCGUAGAUAUUUGGAAGAACACCAAUGGCGAAGGCAGCCCCCUGGGAUGCGACUGACGCUCAUGCACGAAAGCGUGGGGAGCAAACAGG